AUACUUUUAUUUUCAAUUUGUGUAUUCCCAGAAUAUAAGUAAUAUAUGUACUUAAUAAUUUUAUGACACCAAUGGAUUGAUUUCAGU